GAUGAACGCUGGCGGCGUGCCUAAUACAUGCAAGUCGAGCGAACGGACGAGAAGCUUGCUUCUCUGAUGUUAGCGGCGGACGGGUGAGUAACACGUGGAUAACCUACCUAUAAGACUGGGAUAACUUCGGGAAACCGGAUCUAAUACCGGAUGAUAUUUUGAACCGCAUGGUUCAAAAGUGAAAGACGGUCUUGCUGUCACUUAUAGAUGGAUCCGCGUUGCAUUAGCUAGUUGGUAAGGUAACGGCUUACCAAGGCAACGAUGCAUAGCCGACCUGAGAGGGUGAUCGGCCACACUGGAACUGAGACACGGUCCAGACUCCUACGGGAGGCAGCAGUAGGGAAUCUUCCGCAAUGGGCGAAAGCCUGACGGAGCAACGCCGCGUGAGUGAUGAAGGUCUUCGGAUCGUAAAACUCUGUUAUUAGGGAAGAACAUAUGUGUAAGUAACUGUGCACAUCUUGACGGUACCUAAUCAGAAAGCAACGGCUAACUACGUG
rnacentral:rRNA from 1 species